UCAUUUGAUCCAGGUGUGUUAAACCAGGGAGAGAACCAAAACAUGCAGGAUGCCGGCCCUCGAGGACCGACUUUGGACACCCCUGCUCUAUAGGAACACAGCUAACCUGGACAGCCCAGCGCUGCUGGUCGUCAAAGACAUGUUCACAAAGGUGUUUGGGGCUUUUUGCUCAGAUCCGUUCAGUCAGUAAAUAUUUCUACGGCACAGGCCAGACCUUCUUGUUCAGCUUCGGUCCUGAUUUCCAGCAAUACAAGUGGAGUGGAGAGAACUCCUACUCUGUGAGUGGCAGCAGGGAACCUCUGCAGAUUGGUGGAGGAGGGGGCGGAUUUGCCCUCCGGCUGGACGCAGAUUUGUGCCGCGGUGCGAGCUUUUCCUUCCCCACCUUAACGCUCCUCUGUCCACGCACGAGGACUUCACUGUUCUGGACAUCGAAGUUUGGACCGUGCAGGGACUGAAUGGCAGCGUCAAGCAAACGAGGUUUCUUCUCUGAGGCUGCGACGCCUCAAAACCCAACCAGAGUGGAGCAUCAGCUCUCUCCACUGCACCUGCAUGAGAGCAUCCCACAUGCUGCACAAAGCCUAAGAGACUGGUUCUGCGGACCGGUUCUGCGAGUUCGUAUUCCGGUCGGUUGAAAUGCGACUCCUAGAGACUAGAGGAAACAUGAAAAGCUCAUUGCGAAACUGGCGGAGGAGCCGUUUUAAAGCUUUGUCCUGUUGUGGCCAGCUUUGAUUGUGUCACGCAACACGAGGUGUCUUGUGAAAGUCUUUUAACGUUUUCUAUUUAUUUUCACUUAACGGGAAUGACUUCAUUACUCGUAGGUUUAAAAUGCACUUGCAGGGGGAGAACAGUUGCAGAACAGUAUUUGCUUGUGGCCUUAAGUGAAGUGAUUAAUUUUAUGGUGCAGACACAGUAAUAGGAGAGGAGGUAAAUCUGUGCAUCUGCGCUAAAUCAGUGAAAAAAAACCCAAAAAGCACAAUAAAACUGUUAUGACUAGAGACUGAGGCAUAAAACUGAAGAGUUAACGGCCACUGCUCUUCUCCUAAAUGCCCUUUGUUCGUUUAAGGAUUUCUUUUAGGGAAAUACGUAUCUUGCACAUUUUUGCAAUGUUUUAAUUUUUAAAUACAUGUGUGUACAUCUAUUUUUUUCUUUCUUUUUUAAAAAUGCACUUAAGCAAGCAAGCUCUUUCGAGUGUCUUUCUGGUUGUUUUUACUUGAAUGUGUACAUGUCAGGUGAGGUGGUGCUGACACUGUCACUGUUAAAGUCUAAAUAAAUGAAAACAUAAUUUUAUUUACUGUUAA